rnacentral:rRNA from 1 species
UGGGGAAUAUUGCACAAUGGGCGAAAGCCUGAUGCAGCGACGCCGCGUGAGGGAUGACGGCCUUCGGGUUGUAAACCUCUUUCAGUAGGGACGAAGCGCAAGUGACGGUACCUGCAGAAGAAGCACCGGCUAACUACGUGCCAGCAGCCGCGGUAAUACGUAGGGUGCGAGCGUUGUCCGGAAUUACUGGGCGUAAAGAGCUCGUAGGCGGUUUGUCACGUCGUCUGUGAAAUCCUAGGGCUUAACCCUGGACGUGCAGGCGAUACGGGCUGACUUGAGUACUACAGGGGAGACUGGAAUUUCUGGUGUAGCGGUGGAAUGCACAGAUAUCAGGAAGAACACCGAUGGCGAAGGCAGGUCUCUGGGUAGUAACUGACGCUGAGGUGCGAAAGCAUGGGUAGCGAACAGG